rnacentral:rRNA from 1 species
CCUACGGGUGGCAGCAGUGGGGAAUAUUGGACAAUGGGGGGAACCCUGAUCCAGCCAUGCCGCGUGUGUGAAGAAGGCCUUUUGGUUGUAAAGCACUUUAAGCGGGGAGGCGUUACCCGCAGAAUAAGCACCGGCUAACUCUGUGCCAGCAGCCGCGGUAAUACAGAGGGUGCGAGCGUUAAUCGGAUUUACUGGGCGUAAAGCGUGCGUAGGUGGUCUUUUAAGUCGGAUGUGAAAUCCCUGAGCUUAACUUAGGAAUUGCAUUCGAUACUGGGAGACUAGAGUAUGGGAGAGGAUGGUAGAAUUCCAGGUGUAGCGGUGAAAUGCGUAGAGAUCUGGAGGAAUACCGAUGGCGAAGGCAGCCAUCUGGCCUAAACUGACACUGAGGCACGAAAGCAUGGGGAGCAAACAGGAUUAGAUACCCUUGUAGUC